AGAGACAGCAGUCGCCGCGGGAAUACGGAGGGUGCAAGCGUUAAUCGGAAUUACUGGGCGUAAAGCGUGCGUAGGUGGUGGUUUAAGUCCGUUGUGAAAGCCCUGGGCUCAACCUGGGAAUUGCAGUGGAUACUGGGUCACUAGAGUGUGGUAGAGGAUAGUGGAAUUUCCGGUGUAGCAGUGAAAUGCGUAGAGAUCGGAAGGAACAUCUGUGGCGAAGGCGACUAUCUGGGCCAACACUGACACUGAGGCACGAAAGCGUGGGGAGCAAACAGGAUUAGAUACCCCUGUAGUCCCUGUCUCUUAUAC
rnacentral:rRNA from 1 species